UUUUUUCUCUGGGGCAGGGGAGAAUGAUAAAGUUUAAUUACGAUCAAGCACAAUGUCACUAUUAAAUAUUCAUCAAUUUCCGCAGAUCAUGUUUCUUCCAUUGGCAACAUAAGUUUUUGUACAAGCAUGUCAUUGGAAAGAAAUUCACCUAUUGAAUACUGACAAACAAUUCCAUAGUUAGCAUGUUCUUGCCUGUAUCGUGCAUGGUGAAUUUGUGAUCAGUUAAUCUUGCUCAAGCAAUGGGUUACUUUCGAAAAAAUUUGCAGGUCGAAGCUCAAAUCCAUCAUGAAGUGUGGGCAUCACUGGGAAAUCUUCUUGGCAUGGACUGUGGUGGAACCCUACAGUGUACCAUACAACUAUAUCUCUGUUCUCAAUUACUCUAUUCCUGUGGCUCCACACCGCUAAGCCAUCAUCUCCAUGGCUCCGGUCGGCGUAAAAGCCACCGGCCCAUCUCUCGGAUUUGUUAUAGGGAGUCACCCACACUUGGUAUUUCGUAUAAGCAGCCCUAAUUUGGGGAUAAUCAUCAGUAGAGAGAAGAGAAUUAACAGGUUGUCCAGAAAUUAACCGGUAACCCACUUGAUUUCCGAGUCGGGUCUUCUUAUCUGAAUUCACAAUCACUAGCUCAGUUGGCUUCAAACCAAGGUGUAUCCUAGCCUCAGCUUCAGUUUUGACUGUUUCUCUAACAACCGUCCAAUAACUCUUUCUUGGUGAUUGGGCGUUAAAGGGUGGUAGUUUUGCUGUUAGUUGUUUGGCUUUGACGAAUGAGUUAUGGUUGCCGUCAACAUCGAGAUCAAGGUAGUACGUGAGAAAGUGAUCGUGGUUGACGGCGACGGCGUUCUCUGCUAUUAAGGUACCGUAUACAUUUGUUUUUAUUUGAUCGCUAUUUAUGUAUGACGUGGCCUUCAUCUCCAAUAUACCUGUUAGAGCCACUCCAACUUUGAUGGAACCACUUUUCUUGAACUCCCAAUCAAGAAUAUAAUCGUAGUUUCCCACUGUAGCUACCAUUCUUACCACCAAGCUGAUUUCUGGCUCUCCAGUCUGUAUCACUUUCCCAGGAACAUUAAUUUCUUUGUGUCUCAUUGCUACAUCACCACCAUAUCUCUCAAAAAUGCAGAUCACACUGGACAUCUUCUGUGCUUGUCCAUCUGCUCCUACCACAUAUCCAUCUAAAUAAGCUGCAUUGGCUGGACAGUCCACCAGCGGCUGGAGGGUGUCAGCAGCUCUCCCAAAUCCGAAUUCGCCUACGUCCAUAAAAGUCCUAAAAUACCAUUCACUUGUAGGAUCCAUAUAUGGAACGAAUGUCUCAGACACAUGACCUCUAUAUAGGACAGGACGAAAUUUCUUCAUUUUUGCAUCAAAUAUAGAGGCUGUUGAUAUAACUAUUCCUGCCCGGGCAUCAAAUGCUAUAUGAAGAUCCCAAUUAGCCCAUCUAACCCUGUGGCCAUCAAUCUUGAACCCACUAUCUGAUACAUUAUAAAAGAUAGAUUUAGGCUUUGCCCUGGAGCGAAAAUCAGUACCUUCAGCUUUAGGCAAAGGGGCUCUAAAUCUGUCAAUGUAUGCAGUAAUCUGCAUAGAAUCAACAUCAACUAGGAUACUAAUUCCCUCAAUAGGCCUUGCAAAUACAUUAAUCGAUCCUCCUCUGUAGAAGCAUGCAACUCUAACUGCACGUUUUGUAAUGUGUUCGCCAUACCAACCAACAGUGAAAGGUACGCAGGAAACCUCGGAUAAAUUUAAGCCCCUUUUUGUUACGGAUUGAAUGAAUUUUGGAUACUUCAAAGGCAGUUUGCUAGCUCGGAAAAGCUCAUUAAAAGUGAGAGGAGGGUACCCAUGACCAGUAUAGACAUCGUCUGAUAUGAUGGAGCCUGUGGCCAAGUCCAGAACCAGCUUAUGAGUCUCACCCCUUGCUCGAACAACUACCAUGGAUCGACGAGGAAUGAAUUUAUUUGGCUUAGAUGAGGAUAGACACUUGAGAACAUCUUCUUUGUCGGGUUCUUCAACAUCAGCAAAAUGGAAUGUUAGAUUAGGAAAAUGUCCAAGCCUUGACUCUUGAACAAUGAGCCUUACUUGGUUGAUUUCAUCUGGACUGAGAGGGUCUAGGGGGUGAUAAAGGCUGGCUACAAAGCAGGAUUUCAUGACAAAAACUAGAAAAAGCAAGGGAAUAGCCAUGGAUGCUGCUGUCUAAAGAUGGGUUAUGAAGUGAAACACUCAUUAGCACUACAUAAAAAGAGGCAUAUCCUAAUUUAUUGUACCUACUUGCCCACUUGAUGACUGCACAAGGUUUACAAUCUGUCAAACUUUCUUGCUAAGCAGG
rnacentral:misc_RNA from 1 species